AGCCGAAUUAAGGUGAAACCGCGAAAGGCUCAUUAAAUCAGUUAUGGUUCCUUAGAUCGUACCCACAUUUACUUGGAUAACUGUGGUAAUUCUAGAGCUAAUACAUGCAAACAGAGCUCCGACCGGAGACGGAAGGAGCGCUUUUAUUAGAUCAAAACCAAUCGGCGGCGGGUUCGCUCGUCGUCGUACCCACUGGUGAAUCUGAAUAACUUUCUGCUGAUCGCAUGGUCUCGCACCGGCGACGCAUCUUUCAAAUGUCUGCCUUAUCAACUGUCGAUGGUAGGUUCUGCGCCUACCAUGGUUGUAACGGGUAACGGGGAAUCAGGGUUCGAUUCCGGAGAGGGAGCCUGAGAAACGGCUACCACAUCCAAGGAAGGCAGCAGGCGCGCAAAUUACCCACUCCCGGCACGGGGAGGUAGUGACGAAAAAUAACGAUACGGGACUCAUCCGAGGCCCCGUAAUCGGAAUGAGUACAAUCUAAACCCUUUAACGAGGAUCAAUUGGAGGGCAAGUCUGGUGCCAGCAGCCGCGGUAAUUCCAGCUCCAAUAGCGUAUAUUAAAGUUGUUGCGGUUAAAAAGCUCGUAGUCGAAUCUGUGUCCCGCGCCGCCGGUUCAUCGCACGCGGUGUUUAACUGGCGUGUCCGCGGGACGUCCUGCCGGUGGGUUCACCCGCAAGGGUGACCCAACUCAAUCCCACCGCGGUGCUCUUCACUGAGUGUCGAGGUGGGCCGGCACGUUUACUUUGAACAAAUUAGAGUGCUUAAAGCAGGCUAAAACUUCGCCUGAAUACCGUGUGCAUGGAAUAAUGGAAUAGGACCUCGGUUCUAUUUUGUUGGUUUUCGGAACCCCGAGGUAAUGAUUAAUAGGAACGGAUGGGGGCAUUCGUAUUGCGACGUUAGAGGUGAAAUUCUUGGAUCGUCGCAAGACGAACAGAAGCGAAAGCAUUUGCCAAAAACGUUUUCAUUGAUCAAGAACGAAAGUUAGAGGUUCGAAGGCGAUCAGAUACCGCCCUAGUUCUAACCAUAAACGAUGCCAGCUAGCGAUCCGCCGACGUUCCUUCGAUGACUCGGCGGGCAGCUUCCGGGAAACCAAAGCUUUUGGGUUCCGGGGGAAGUAUGGUUGCAAAGCUGAAACUUAAAGGAAUUGACGGAAGGGCACCACCAGGAGUGGAGCCUGCGGCUUAAUUUGACUCAACACGGGAAACCUCACCAGGCCCGGACACCGGAAGGAUUGACAGAUUGAGAGCUCUUUCUUGAUUCGGUGGGUGGUGGUGCAUGGCCGUUCUUAGUUGGUGGAGCGAUUUGGCUGGUUAAUUGCGAUAACGAACGAGACUCUAGCCUGCUNCAUAGGCGUAUAUCGGACGUCACAAAGGCCCGCCGAUUCGGCGUCUGCGUUGNGGG
rnacentral:rRNA from 1 species